rnacentral:rRNA from 1 species
GAUGAACGCUAGCUAUAGGCUUAACACCUGCAAGUCAAGGGGAAACGGCAGAGAGUGUUUGCACACUGUGGACGUCGACCGGCGCACGGGUGAGUAACGCGUAUCCAACCUGCCCUUUACUUGGGGAUAACCCGUUGAAAGACGGACUAAUACCCAAUGAUAUUCAUUGAUGACAUCUGAUUUGAAUUAAAGAUUUAUCGGUAUAGGAUGGGGAUGCGUCUGAUUAGCUUGGUGGUGAGGUAACGGCUCACCAAGGCCACGAUCAGUAGGGGUUCUGAGAGGGAGGUCCCCCCCAUUGGAACUGAGACACGGUCCCAACUCCUACAGGAGGCCGCAAUGAUUAAUAUUGGUUAAUGGACGGGAGUUUGAACCAGCCACGUAGCGUGCAGGAUGACGGCCCUAUGGGUUGUUAACUGUUUUUGUUUGGGAAUAAUCGACAUUCCCUGUGAGGGUUGUUUGUUCCAUUCCGUGGAAGACCCGUUUAUACCCCCGCCCGGGCCUCGGUUUUUGUAAGGUCCUGGCCCCAACCGAUUUUAGGUUCUAAUGAGACUGUACGCGGUUGGGUAAACGUGUUCUGAAAUGCGAUGCUCACCAUCCGUCUGUAGUUCCCCAACCUACUAAGUGACCCACAGAAGGCGGGUUCUGGGUUUGUCUCUACACCCAGGCACUCGGA